AGAGUUUGAUCCUGGCUCAGAUUGAACGCUGGCGGCAUGCCUUACACAUGCAAGUCGAACGGCAGCACGGGCUUCGGCCUGGUGGCGAGUGGCGAACGGGUGAGUAAUACAUCGGAACGUGCCCUGUUGUGGGGGAUAACCAGUCGAAAGAUUGGCUAAUACCGCAUACGACCUGAGGGUGAAAGCGGGGGACCGCAAGGCCUCGCGCAGCAGGAGCGGCCGAUGUCUGAUUAGCUAGUUGGUGGGGUAAAGGCCCACCAAGGCGACGAUCAGUAGCUGGUCUGAGAGGACGAUCAGCCACACUGGGACUGAGACACGGCCCAGACUCCUACGGGAGGCAGCAGUGGGGAAUUUUGGACAAUGGGGGCAACCCUGAUCCAGCAAUGCCGCGUGUGUGAAGAAGGCCUUCGGGUUGUAAAGCACUUUUGUCCGGAAAGAAAACCUUCGCCCUAAUACGGUGGGGGGAUGACGGUACCGGAAGAAUAAGCACCGGCUAACUACGUGCCAGCAGCCGCGGUAAUACGUAGGGUGCGAGCGUUAAUCGGAAUUACUGGGCGUAAAGCGUGCGCA
rnacentral:rRNA from 1 species